rnacentral:rRNA from 1 species
GACGAACGCUGGCGGCGUGCUUAACACAUGCAAGUCGAACGGAAAGGCCCUGCUUUUGUGGGGUGUCCGAGUGGCGAACGGGUGAGUAACACGUGAGUAUCCUGCCCUUGACUUUGGGAUAACUUCAGGAAACUGGGGCUAAUACCGGAUAGGAGCUCCUGCUGCAUGGUGGGGUUUGGAAAGCUUCGGCGGUAGGGGAUCGACGCGCGGGUUACGAGCUUGUUGGUGGGGUAGUUGCAUACCAGGGCUUAGACGGGUAGCCGGCCUGGGAGGGUAGACGGGCACAAUGGGCCUGAGGGACGGACCAGACGGCAACGGGAGGCAGCGGGCGAAAGUAUUGCACAGUGGGGGGGAGUGUGAGACAGAGGCCCCCCGAUCGGAAAGACGGCUUUCGGGUUGUGAACCGCUGUCGCCUGUGACGAAGCGGGAGUGACGUUAAUGGGUAAAGAAGCACCGGCUAACUACGUG